rnacentral:rRNA from 1 species
UAGGGAAUCUUCGGCAAUGGACGAAAGUCUGACCGAGCAACGCCGCGUGAGUGAAGAAGGUUUUCGGAUCGUAAAACUCUGUUGGUAGAGAAGAACGUCGGUGAGAGUGGAAAGCUCAUCAAGUGACGGUAACUACCCAGAAAGGGACGGCUAACUACGUGCCAGCAGACCGCGUAAUACGUAGGUCCCGAGCGUUGUCCGGAUUUAUUGGGCGUAAAGCGAGCGCAGGUGGUUUAUUAAGUCUGGUGUAAAAGGCAGUGGCUCAACCAUUGUAUGCAUUGGAAACUGGUAGACUUGAGUGCAGGAGAGGAGAGUGGAAUUCCAUGUGUAGCGGUGAAAUGCGUAGAUAUAUGGAGGAACACCGGUGGCGAAAGCGGCUCUCUGGCCUGUAACUGACACUGAGGCUCGAAAGCGUGGGGAGCAAACAGGAUUAGAUACCCUGGUAGUCCACGCCGUAAACGAUGAGUGCUAGAUGUAGGGAGCUAUAAGUUCUCUGUAUCGCAGCUAACGCAAUAAGCACUCGCUGGGGAGUACGACCGCAAGGUUG